ACCUCCAUCACUAAAAUUGAAGUCUGAAGCUGCAGGUUUUUCUGUGAAUCAUGAUGAUUGAGCUUCAUAUGAAGAACAGAAGAUCAUUAUGAGAAACUCCACAACAUCAUCCAUGAUAAAAGAAGUCAAAGGUCACAGAUCUGUUUCUUUAAACAGUAAAGUUCUGUUGUAAAUGAGAUCAAUAAAUGCUUGUUUGUGUGAAAAAGUGAUUGUUGUUCCUUUGAGAAGCAUUUUGUCCAAACUGAAUGUUUGAGUGUUGAGAAGAUCUGAGUUUCUUCUAAUAUCAGUGUGUUGAAGUGUUGUUUCUCUCUCUCUGCUGGAGUUUGUGUUCACUCGAGUGGAAUAGAGGUUUUUGUACGACCGUUUCAUUAGAUUGUAUCACUGUGGUACACAUUCGGUGGAGGAACUAAACUGGUGGUCUCUGGUCCCACAGUGAAGCCCUCAGUGUCUCUGCUGCCGCCCUCUUCUCUGCAGAUCUCUGGAGACUCAGCCGCACUGCUCUGCCUGCUCAGCUCUUACUCUCCACAGGGGGCGCUGGUGAGCUGGACACUGGACGGGUCAGAGGUCACCGAGGGGGUCGUGACCAGCGCAGAGAGCCAGCGGGACGGCCGCUACAGCCGCAGUAGCGUCCUGACCCUCAGCAAAGCACGCUGGGAAAAGGGAGAGGUGUACGUCUGCAGAGUAACACAUGAUGGAGCUCCUCAUGAGGUCUCGUUCCACAAGAGCUCUGAGUGCUGAUGUUUCUCUCCUGAAGAUGAGCCGUAUCUGAGUGUCCUGUGUCAGGCAGGAUUCACAUGAGUCUAGUGCUGCAGCUGUAGUGAUUUACAACUCAAUACUGAAAGAGAGCUGGCGUGUCAAAGCACUGUGUGAUCUUUCAAUCUGCUGUAACAUUCAAUAAAGCUUCUCAACAAGUUCACUUUGUGUCUGACAACAUCAUUCAACUAACAGAUGAAGAUGCAGGUGCUUUUCACAAACUUGAUGUAAAUGUCACAUAAAGCUCUUGGGGUUUGAACAUGGUCUCUGGAGACAGAGCUGCUCUAUUCUGAGAGGAUCACAAUCACUCCACCCUGACAAUGCAAAUGGGCUUUUCAGUCUCACUGUUUGAUUGGUCACAUGAUCUGGACUGGAACACACCAGUUUCACUUCUGCUGAAAAUGUGGUGAUGAAAAUAUAUAUGAAAAUGUCAUGAAAAUCACAACUAAAACUAGUCAUGUUUGUUGGUUGAUGAAGAAGAGCUCUUGAUCAUGUCAUGUUCAGUUCAUAGAGCUAUAAACACAUUCAGAGCAGUGAAGCAUGUGCCGCUCAUGUAAAACACCCUCUGAAUGCAAAAGACAGAAGAGAGAUCAGGACGAUAUACAUUCAGAGUCCAACAGUUUGACUGACAGGGUUAAAAGAAAGGCUUUACAUUGCCAAAGCACAGUAACAGUAAAUAUACAGAGUCAGACAUACACAUUUACACAUCAUUCUCUACAGGACACAACUGAAUGAUUCCUGCUGUAUCAGUAGUCAAUGAUCUUGCUGCUCAACAUUCAAACACUUGUCUAUUGUUUGCUGUAGCAGUGCAGUGUACUUUCAGAAACCCUCCACCUCCCCCAGCUCCACCUGUCCAGAUCUGCUAUGGGGUGAUUCAUGUUUGCUCGUACAGCAGCAGCAUGUUGUGUGUGUUUUGGCAGUGGAAAGUUCUGUACUCUACAGCAGAUAUAAUCAACAGCAGCAGACCAAACACAUUAACAUUGUCAUAUUCAUUAUCAUGACAAACUCUCCAAGAAUUGUCAUGUCAGAAAUCUAGUUCAGUCAUGAAACUGAAGAUGGCACAGGCUUCGAUCGGUCCUUUACAUGCAGUCUGUAAGCAAUCACAUCAAUACCAAAUGACUCAGGCUGAUUGGUCUCUGCUGAUCCUGCAGCCAAUGAGAUCCCUUGCUCAACAUUUAAUAGUCUGGUUCAGUGUUUGCUGUAGGCUAGUCCUGCAGUGCUAUAAGAGUUCUGACAAACAGAUAAGUCAACAAUGUUUUACCAUUCCAGAUACAAAACAAAAUGCAAAUGUUUUAUUGAAGUUGUAAUCUAUUAUGCAACUAUCAAAUCAUCUAAUACCAUUAAAUAUGAAGUGUCUUCAUAAUAUGUGUUAUUUUAUUAAAUUAUAGGGCUUGUUUUGUUUGUUUUUAUUUAACCCUUGGGGGUCCCUGAUAAUAUAUCCAUCAUGAAAUGUGGAUAUAGAGAAAAGGCUGCACCCACUUCAGCCCCUCAUUUCAUUGAACAGACGUGUCAUAUAUAGAUCCGCUGUGAAGUCCAAAAACUUUUUAUGUUUCCUGAGGGCGACACCAUGCCAUAGAGGAAUAAAGAAACAAUUCUAUAAUUGAGUUAAUUUCAGCAAAACUUGUAUGUAAUGUUCUAUUUUCAGUGGUUUAAUCGGGAACAAUUACUGGGACACCAUAAGAAGAUUUAUUGUUUCCCCUUUAAGCAUUUGCGCUCAUGCUGUAUGUCGACGGGGAAGCAGAGGUCAUUUUGACAAAUGUUUUGUUAAUAAAAAGGCUUAAAUACAAACACUUUUCUCUCUUUGCUGUGGAAGUUCAGUAUAAGAGGAAAUGUUAGGCAUCUUAGGGGGGCACUGCAGUAUUGAUCUGGUGAAGGAGGAGGCCAUCGAGUAAAAAAGGUUGAGAAACACUACACUAGUGUCAUCACAUCGACACAACGUCAAAGUGACUGACAGAUAGAGAACUCAGUUAUGUAACAGACACGCCAUCUAGUGAUGAAGCAUGGAAGUGCAAUUAAAGUGACGGACUUUCCUGCAGUUCGAUUACAUUGUAGUGGAAAGUUUUGCAGUGCCAAGCACCACUAACAUUUAUAUAAUAUAAAGAUGAUGUUACAUGCUUAGUACAUCAAAAUAAAUAAAUAAUGUUUCUGAAAGGUUUAAUAAAACAUUGUGUUGUUUGUGAUCCUCCAUCAGCAGCUGCAGUAUCUCUCAGCUGUAUCAGUGCAUCACUGUGACGUCUGACUGACCGAGGUUUUUGUACCACUCUUUAUCACUGUGUGAACACCCUAGUGCUGCCUGGAUAGUGGAAACUCUGACAGUAAUAAUCUCCUGUAUCUUCAGUCUGGACUCCACUGAUGGUCAGAGUGAAAUCACUGCCAGAUCCACUGCCACUGAAUCUAGAUGGAGUUCCUGUAUAACGGCUUGUUGCUGCAUAUAUGAGGAGUUUAGGAGCUUCUCCAGGUUUCUGUAAGUACCAGUAUAAACGAUUACUACUAUACACUGCACUGCUGGUUUUACAGUUUAUUCUGACUUCUUGUCCUGGUUGAACUGCUGUUAUUGAUGGACUCUGAGUUACAGUGUACUGUCCUCUAC